CUUUCCGCGCUGCUCCAACGUAAACAUACAGGUGCUCCGACUCGCACCUGCCUUGACUCGCUUUUGCAUGCGGUGGGUUUGUUCAUAAUUUGCACAUGUUGACAUUGUACGCUUGUCCCAGUCCGUGCCAGUAGACACCACUUGCGGCUACACAUUGACGACAUCAAGAAAUCAGCUGUCACAGCCAGCGUGAUGCUCCAACAGGUGCAACGACAGAAGCCUACUUCACUAUCCACUUAUAGGUCACUACAGCAGUGAGAAAGGAGGAUGGACAUGUUCCACACGCAGCCUGAACCUGUUCUUUGGGAAGAAGCAUAUAUACCAGUAAACUGAAAAGCAUGGAGCCGGAAAGCACAAGGAUGAUGGCUUGCGGCUCUUCACGUCUGAUCACGUUCAGGAGCUGGAGUUUUUCGAAGAUCAUUGCAGCCCAGAUACACUGGUCCGUGCUGAUAUUUGCAAGCAUGUAGAUCUCUGUUACCUACGGAGUCAGGGCAGUGAUU